rnacentral:rRNA from 1 species
UGGGGAAUCUUGGUCAAUGGGCGAAAGCCUGAACCAGCGACGCCGCGUGAGUGAUGAAGGCCUUCGGGUUGUAAGGCUCUGUGGGGAGAGACGAAAGAAUCGGUUCUAACAGGACCGAAGUUGACGGUAUCUCCUUAGCAAGCACCGGCUAACUCUGUGCCAGCAGCCGCGGUAAGACAGAGGGUGCAAACGUUGCUCGGAAUCACUGGGCGUAAAGGGCGUGUAGGCGGGAAGGUAAGUCGGGCGUGAAAUCCCUGGGCUCAACCCAGGAACUGCACUCGAAACUACUUUUCUUGAGUGCCGGAGAGGAAAGCGGAAUUCCUGGUGUAGAGGUGAAAUUCGUAGAUAUCAGGAGGAACACCAGUGGCGAAGGCGGCUUUCUGGACGGUAACUGACGCUGAGACGCGAAAGCGUGGGGAGCAAA